rnacentral:rRNA from 1 species
CGGGAGAUAGCUGGUUCUCCCCGAAAGCUAUUUAGGUAGCGCCUCGUGAAUUCAUCUCCGGGGGUAGAGCACUGUUUCGGCAAGGGGGUCAUCCCGACUUACCAACCCGAUGCAAACUGCGAAUACCGGAGAAUGUUAUCACGGGAGACACACGGCGGGUGCUAACGUCCGUCGUGAAGAGGGAAACAACCCAGACCGCCAGCUAAGGUCCCAAAGUCAUGGUUAAGUGGGAAACGAUGUGGGAAGGCCCAGACAGCCAGGAUGUUGGCUUAGAAGCAGCCAUCAUUUAAAGAAAGCGUAAUAGCUCACUGGUCGAGUCGGCCUGCGCGGAAGAUGUAACGGGGCUAAACCAUG